GACGAACGCUGGCGGCGUGCCUAAUACGUGCAAGUAGAACGCUGAAGGAGGAGCUUGCUUCUCUGGAUGAGUUGCGAACGGGUGAGUAACGCGUAGGUAACCUGCCUGGUAGCGGGGGAUAACUAUUGGAAACGAUAGCUAAUACCGCAUAAUAGUAGAUGUUGCAUGACAUUUGCUUAAAAGGUGCAAUUGCAUCACUACCAGAUGGACCUGCGUUGUAUUAGCUAGUUGGUGGGGUAACGGCUCACCAAGGCGACGAUACAUAGCCGACCUGAGAGGGUGAUCGGCCACACUGGGACUGAGACACGGCCCAGACUCCUACGGGAGGCAGCAGUAGGGAAUCUUCGGCAAUGGACGGAAGUCUGACCGAGCAACGCCGCGUGAGUGAAGAAGGUUUUCGGAUCGUAAAGCUCUGUUGUAAGAGAAGAACGAGUGUGAGAGUGGAAAGUUCACACUGUGACGGUAUCUUACCAGAAAGGGACGGCUAACUACGUG
rnacentral:rRNA from 1 species